GCUUUUUUUUGUUGGCUUCUUAGAGGGACUUUCGGUGGGAAGUUUUAGGCAAAAACAGGUCUGUGAUGCCGCUAGAUGUCUGGGGCUGCACGGCGUUACACUGACAUGUUCAACGAGUAUUUAAGAACGACCUGGCACUCGAACGGGGUUUGGGCAAUCUAAAAAUGCAUGUCGUGAUGGGGAUUGUGCUUUAGUAACUAUCGCACAUGAACGAGGAAUACCUAGUAAGGGUAGGUCAUCAACCUGUCCUGGAUUACGUCCCUGCCCUUUGUACACACCGCC
rnacentral:rRNA from 1 species